rnacentral:rRNA from 1 species
CCUACGGGAGGCUGCAGUGGGGAAUAUUGGGCAAUGGGCGCAAGCCUGACCCAGCAACGCCGCGUGAAGGAAGAAGGCUUUCGGGUUGUAAACUUCUUUUCUCAGGGACGAAGCAAGUGACGGUACCUGAGGAAUAAGCCACGGCUAACUACGUGCCAGCAGCCGCGGUAAUACGUAGGUGGCAAGCGUUAUCCGGAUUUACUGGGUGUAAAGGGCGUGUAGGCGGGACUGCAAGUCAGAUGUGAAAACCACGGCCUAAACCUGUGGCCUGCAUUUGAAACUGUGGUUCUUGGGUACUGGGAGGCAGACGGAAUUCCUAGUGUAGCGGUGAAAUGCGUAGAUAUUAGGAGGAACACCAGUGGCGAAGGCGGUCUGCUGGACAGCAACUGACGCUGAGGCGCGAAAGCGUGGGGAGCAAACAGGAUUAGAUACCCCAGUAGUC